rnacentral:rRNA from 1 species
CGCGUAGGCGGCUUUGUAAGUCGGAUGUGAAAGCCCCGGGCUUAACCUGGGGAUUGCAUUCGAUACUGCAGGGCUAGAGUAUGGGAGAGGGAAGUGGAAUUUCCGGUGUAGCGGUGAAAUGCGUAGAUAUCGGAAGGAACACCAGUGGCGAAGGCGACUUCCUGGCCCAAUACUGACGCUGAGGUGCGAAAGCGUGGGGAGCAAACA